UCCGUAGGUGAACCUGCGGAAGGAUCAUUACGUUCAGUAGCCUAGCUACUGUCAGUGGGGCUCGUUAGUCUGCAUAGCUUAAACGCUGAUGAGCAGCAGGCCCCCUGUCUUCACCCUUGUUUUUUGCGUACCCAUGUUUCCUCGGCGGGCUUGCCCGCCGGCUGGACAAAACUAUAACCUAUUUAAUUUUCAAUCAGCGUCUGAAAUAAUUUUAAUAAUUACAACUUUCAACAACGGAUCUCUUGGUUCUGGCAUCGGUGAAGAACGCAGCGAAAUGCGAUAAGUAGUGUGAAUUGCAGAAUUCAGUGAAUCAUCGAAUCUUUGAACGCACAUUGCGCCCCUUGGUAUUCCAUGGGGCAUGCCUGUUCGAGCGUCAUUUGUACCCUCAAGCUUUGCUUGGUGUUGGGUGUUUGUCUCUUCCCUUGUGGGGAGACUCGCCUUAAAGUAAUUGGCAGCCAGUGUUUUGGUAGUAAGCGCAGCACAUUUUGCGUCUUGGUCCCUAAAAUAGUGGCAACCAUAAGCUCUUUUUCACGUUUGACCUCGGAUCAGGUAGGGAUACCCGCUGAACUUAAGCAUAUCAAUAAGCGGAGGA
rnacentral:rRNA from 1 species